rnacentral:tRNA from 1 species
GGACGCAUAGCUCAGUUGGUAGAGCAGCUGACUCUUAAUCAGCGGGUCCUAGGUUCGAAUCCUAGUGGGCGCACCA